GUGGUAAUGCCGGAUGCUCCAGUUGGAUGCAUGUCCUUCUGGGAAAGAUUCAUCGGUAUGGGAUGGGGUCGCGUCCUAUCAGCUUGAUGGCGGGGUAACGGCCCACCAUGGCUUCGACGGGUAGCCGGCCUGAGAGGGCGACCGGCCACAUUGGGACUGAGAUACGGCCCAGACUCCUACGGGAGGCAGCAGUGGGGAAUAUUGCACAAUGGGCGCAAGCCUGAUGCAGCGACGCCGCGUGCGGGAUGACGGCCUUCGGGUUGUAAACCGCUUUUGACUGGGAGCAAGCCCUUCGGGGUGAGUGUACCUUUCGAAUAAGCACCGGCUAACUACGUGCCAGCAGCCGCGGUAAUACGUAGGGUGCAAGCGUUAUCCGGAAUUAUUGGGCGUAAAGGGCUCGUAGGCGGUUCGUCGCGUCCGGUGUGAAAGUCCAUCGCUUAACGGUGGAUCCGCGCCGGGUACGGGCGGGCUUGAGUGCGGUAGGGGAGACUGGAAUUCCCGGUGUAACGGUGGAAUGUGUAGAUAUCGGGAAAAGAACACCA
rnacentral:rRNA from 1 species